UACGAAGGGGGGCUAGCGUUGCUCGGAAUUACUGGGCGUAAAGCGCACGUAGGCGGCUCUUUAAGUCGGGGGUGAAAUCCUGGAGCUCAACUCCAGAACUGCCUUCGAUACUGAAGAGCUCGAGUCCGGGAGAGGUGAGUGGAACUGCGAGUGUAGAGGUGAAAUUCGUAGAUAUUCGCAAGAACACCAGUGGCGAAGGCGGCUCACUGGCCCGGGUACUGACGCUGAGGUGCGAAAGGCGUGGGGAGCAAA
rnacentral:rRNA from 1 species